rnacentral:misc_RNA from 1 species
GCGUCAUUUCAGUUUUUAUAUAUGAGAAAUUUCCAUUUUAUUUGAUGUGUUGAAUAUUUGUUUACUUCUCGGAUGUAUUGCUCAACCAGAUCCAAAGAUUGAAAAAGUGAAGUCUCAGGUGAAAUUUUUCCUUUCGAUGUCACCAACUUAAGCCCUCGUCCUCGUCCACUUCCAAUUUCCCCUGGUGCGACAAAUUAGUAUCUCAUAGUACUCUUUGUAACUGAUUCAUCCUCAUUUUUGGUCUUCACAUUAAACCUGAGACUCGAUUGAAUAGAAGAUAUAAUUUGAGUUGAGAUGCUGCUAGGCCUCUGCUUUUUAUAAACUAAGGUAAUAUAGCUGAAACACUAGGACAUGCGCUUUUGUUUGCUGCUACAGACCUAUUCUUUCUCAGAAUUUUGUAGUAGAGACUAGAAAACAGAAAUGUUGAUGAUCAAUAGAGAGGCUUUUGGGAAGAGCUAGAUAACCCUCGGCAGAACUUGCACUUGAUCUAAAUGAAAAAGAAAUGGCGUGUGUUCUUGGGAAUGCCUAAAG